CACUCACUGGGAGGGUCCGCGGCUUCAUUCUUGAAGUCAGUGAGACCAAGAACCCACCAAUUCCGGACACAUAACCACUAUGCUAGACCAGAUACAGGAAAUCUUCAUAACCUCAGGAAGUUCUCCUGUGCCUCUUUGCAGUCACUUCCUCUCCGUGUCUUCCUCCCACCCCCGCCAUCUGAGGCAACCACAACUGGAAUUUCUAUCAUAUUGUGUUAAAUUACUACUUCUAGAAAUUCAUGUAAAUGAAAUCAACCAGAAUGUGAUGUUUUCAGAUAUAUGAUCUCUGGUUGUUUUGUGAUCCCAGGAUCUACUGAGAUGUAUAGCAUAAGAAGUUAUACACAUCCUGGAUUUUGUAAAGAACAGCUUCAUUACUGGGUACAAAAAAAAGCAAGAUAAAGAUCAAAACAAACCAUGUGCCACGAGUCCUAAAUAUAUAUCACCAUUCAUUAUGAAAUGUUUAUUCUUAACAAUGAAGUGCUUAAAAAACAAAAUCAAGCUGAAACUUCUAUUUUCCAGUGAAGAACCAAGAUGGAGAUCAUCAACUGGGCAACAUUUGUGGUGUAAUUUCAUGUAGAUCACUGUCAUAAGCUUAUUUUAUACACAAGCAC
rnacentral:lncRNA from 1 species